rnacentral:rRNA from 1 species
ACUGCUCAGUAACACGUGGAUAACCUGCCCUUGGGUCCGGCAUAACCCCGGGAAACUGGGGAUAAUUCCGGAUAACGCACAUAUGCUGGAAUGCUUUAUGCGUAAAAUGGAUUCGUCUGCCCAAGGAUGGGUCUGCGGCCUAUCAGGUAGUAGUGGGUGUAAUGUACCUACUAGCCAACAACGGGUACGGGUUGUGAGAGCAAGAGCCCGGAGAUGGAUUCUGAGACAUGAAUCCAGGCCCUACGGGGCGCAGCAGGCACGAAAACUUUACAAUGCGGGAAACCGUGAUAAGGGGACACCGAGUGCCAGCAUCAUAUGCUGGCUGUCCAGGUGUGUAAAAUACACCUGUUAGCAAGGGCCGGGCAAGACCGGUGCCAGCCGCCGCGGUAACACCGGCGGCCCGAGUGGUGAUCGUGAUUAUUGGGUCUAAAGGGUCCGUAGCCGGUUUGGUCAGUCCUCCGGGAAAUCUGACGGCUUAACCGUUAGGCUUUCGGGGGAUACUGCCAGGCUUGGAACCGGGAGAGGUAAGAGGUACUACAGGGGUAGGAGUGAAAUCUUGUAAUCCCUGUGGGACCACCUGUGGCGAAGGCGUCUUACCAGAACGGGUUCGACGGUGAGGGACGAAAGCUGGGGGCACGAACCGGAUUAGAUACCCGGGUAGUCCCAGCCGUAAACGAUGCUCGCUAGGUGUCAGGCAUGGCGCGACCGUGUCUGGUGCCGCAGGGAAGCCGUGAAGCGAGCCACCUGGGAAGUACGGCCGCAAGGCUGAAACUUAAAGGAAUUGGCGGGGGAGCAC